AUUGAACGCUGGCGGCAGGCCUAACACAUGCAAGUCGAACGAGUGGCGGACGGGUGAGUAAUGUCUGGGAAACUGCCUGAUGGAGGGGGAUAACUACUGGAAACGGUAGCUAAUACCGCAUACCAUCGGAUGUGCCCAGAUGGGAUUAGCUGGUAGGUGGGGUAAAGGCUCACCUAGGGGACGAUCCCUAGCUGGUCGGAGAGGAUGACCGGCAACACUGGAACUGAGACACGGCCCAGACUCCAAGGGAGGGCGGCAGUGGGAAAUAUUCCACAAGGAGGGAAGGCCUGAUGCGGCAAUGCCGCGGGUGGGAAGAAGGCCUUCGGGUUGUAAAGCACUUUCAGCGAGGAGGCGUUACUCGCAGAAGAAGCACCGGCUAACUCCGUGCCAGCAGCCGCGGUAAUUC
rnacentral:rRNA from 1 species